rnacentral:rRNA from 1 species
UACGUAGGGUGCAAGCGUUGUCCGGAAUUAUUGGGCGUAAAGAGCUCGUAGGCGGUUUGUCGCGUCGGCUGUGAAACCCCGAGGCUCAACCUCGGGUCUGCAGUCGAUACGAGCAAACUAGAGUGUUGCAGGGGAGACUGGAAUUCCUGGUGUAGCGGUGAAAUGCGCAGAUAUCAGGAGGAACACCGGUGGCGAAGGCGGGUCUCUGGGCAACAACUGACGCUGAGGAGCGAAAGCGUGGGGAGCGAACAGG